UACCAGCACCCCGAGUGGUCGGGACGAUUAUUGGGCCUAAAGCAUCCGUAGCCGGUUCUACAAGUCUUCCGUUAAAUCCACCUGCUUAACAGAUGGGCUGCGGAGGAUACUAUAGAGCUAGGAGGCGGGAGAGGCAAGCGGUACUUAGUGGGUAGGGGUAAAAUCCGUUGAUCCAUUGAAGACCACCAGUGGCGAAGGCGGCUCACUGGUCCGGUACUGACGCUGAGGCGCGAAAGCGUGGGGAGCAAACAGG
rnacentral:rRNA from 1 species